rnacentral:rRNA from 1 species
CACGCCCUAAACGAUGUCAACUGGUUGUUGGGAAUUCAUUUUCUCAGUAACGAAGCUAACGCGUUAAGUUCGCCGCCUGGGGAGUNCAACGCGAAGAACCUUACCUGGUCUUGACAUGUCCGGAACCUUGCAGAGAUGCGAGGGUGCCUUCGGGAAUCGGAACACAGGUGC